rnacentral:lncRNA from 1 species
GAAGUCAGCCUGGGAACAUCAAGUCACAAUGCAGUGAAUGGCUUUCUUUUUGUCCCACAGGGGAGGAAGACUGAAGAAGAAUGGCCAGCUCUAAUUGUCAGGACAUGGUCUGUGCUUUAGGAUAUCAUCUGAUACCAUAAUAAGCUUGAAUGAUGCACGGCAUUUCUUGUGUUUUACCCUGACCCCAGGUGACAUUUCCCUUCUGUGGGUAUAACCUGAGGGAUGUGGGUGGAGUGGCUAUGUAGGUGGGCACAGUCGUCGUUUAUGGGGGGCUUGUGCAGUCAGGUGCCUUGAGCAUUUCCUUAUGGCUCCCUUCCCACGCUGAGUCCUUUCCCUUCUGGUUUCAAGGAAAACUGUAGUCUUCAACCCCAUCAGAGACCUGAGAAGGAUAAACGUUACCCAAGUAAACAGGAAGUGCAGAGCCAGCAGCUCCCAAAGCCGUAGACAUGACAGACUGCUGGCUGCCUGGACAUCCCCCAAGGUUCCUCUGUAUCACUCGGGCAUCCAUCUUUGGCCUACAUGCUCAGAAUAUCUGCCAGACUUAUCUGUGAAACAGCAACUUUGACGGACUGGCUUACCUUAUCUCUGCAAUGUUGGACAGUCAACUUUCAAGUAUGCUGCUUCUCCACAGUUUGGAUGGCCUGCUGUCAGCGGUCAAGGUGAGGCAGUUUUUUGCCCAGUACCCAGUGUUGCCAUGCUUCAAGUAACCUUGAUUUGGAGGCUUUUUGGUGCCCAUCAUCUUUGAAAUAGAUUGGGGGUGCUGCUAGGAAGCUGAUGUAUCUCUCUAUCAGAAAAGCCUUUUAUUAU